UACGUAGGGACCGAGCGUUGUCCGGAUUCAUUGGGCGUAAAGAGCUCGUAGGCGGCCACUCAAGUCGAAUGUGAAACCUCGAGGCUUAACCUCGAGCCUGCAUUCGAUACUGGGCGGCUAGAGUCUGGUAGGGGGAUCUGGAAUUCCUGGUGUAGCGGUGGAAUGCGCAGAUAUCAGGAGGAACACCAGUAGCGAAGGCGGCUCGCUGGGCCACUUCUGACGCUGAGACGCGAAAGCUAGGGGAGCGAACAGG
rnacentral:rRNA from 1 species